rnacentral:rRNA from 1 species
GACGAACGCUGGCGGCGUGCUUAACACAUGCCAGUCGAACGGAAAGGCCCUGCUUUUGUGGGGUGCUCGAGUGGCGAACGGGUGAGUAACACGGGAGUAACCUGCCCUUGACUUUGGGAUAACUUCAGGAAACUGGGGCUAAUACCGGAUAGGAGCUCCUGCUGCAUGGUGGGGGUUGGAAAGUUUCGGCGGUUGGGGAUGGACUCGCGGCUUAUCAGCUUGUUGGUGGGGUAGUGGCUUACCAAGGCUUUGACGGGUAGCCGGCCUGAGAGGGUGACCGGCCACAUUGGGACUGAGAUACGGCCCAGACUCCUACGGGAGGCAGCAGUGGGGAAUAUUGCACAAUGGGCGGAAGCCUGAUGCAGCAACGCCGCGUGCGGGAUGACGGCCUUCGGGUUGUAAACCGCUUUCGCCUGUGACGACGCGUGAGUGACGGUAAUGGGUAAAGAAGCACCGGCUAACUACGUG